rnacentral:rRNA from 1 species
UACGGAGGAUGCGAGCGUUAUCCGGAUUUAUUGGGUUUAAAGGGUGCGUAGGCGGUCCGUUAAGUCAGCGGUAAAAUUGCGGGGCUCAACCCCGUCGAGCCGUUGAAGCUGUCAGACUUGAGUUGGCGAGAAGUACGCGGAAUGCGCGGUGUAGCGGUGAAAUGCAUAGAUAUCGCGCAGAACUCCGAUUGCGAAGGCAGCGUACCGGCGCCACACUGACGCUGAGGCACGAAAGCGUGGGGAUCGAACAGG